AGCUCCAGUAGCGUAUAUUAAAGUUGUUGCAGUUAAAAAGCUCGUAGUUGGAUUUCUGGUGAACCAAGAUGGCCCGGUGUCUUAAUGACUACUGAGUGCCGUUUUUUUGGUUUACCAUCCUUCCAGAGAGUUGUGCCUACCGCUAGUCGGCCGGGUGCUGCGAUCUGGAUCAUUUACUUUGAAAAAAUUAGAGUGUUUCAAGCAGGCUUACGCUUUGAAUACAUUAGCAUGGAAUAAUAAUAUAGGACUUUGGUUCUAUUUUGUUGGUUUCUAGGACUGAAGUAAUGAUUGAUAGGGAUAGUUGGGGGUGCUAGUAUUCAGCGGCCAGAGGUGAAAUUCUUGGAUUCGCUGAAGACUAACUACUGCGAAAGCAUUCACCAAGGAUGUCUUCUUUAAUCAA
rnacentral:rRNA from 1 species